rnacentral:lncRNA from 10 species
CCUGCCUCGGCCUCCCAAAGUGCUGGGAUUACAGGCGUGAGCCACCGCGUCCAGCCAAUUGGUGGGUUCCUGGUCUCACUGACUUCAAGAAUGAAGCCACGGACCCUCGCAAUGCUGUUACGAACUUCCCUUAGAAUCAACCCAUUUGUGAAACACCACAUUAAUAAGAGCAGUAUCUUUGGAGAUUGGAGAGUCCACCAAGGAUGCCCACUGGCUCCCUACAAAGUUUUUUAUGUGAGGACU